CUAUACCAUUCUGAAAGCACCAGUUCUCGUCUCGUUUGAUCACCGUAGUUAAGCAUCACUGAGCGAUAUCAGUACUUGGGAGGGCGACCACAAGGCAACACAGAGUGCUGUUG